AAUCUGGCGUGCUCAGUGCGUCCGAGUUGUAAUCUAUAGAGUCGUUUUCCGUGCCGGACUGUGUCCAAGUCCCUUGGAACAGGGUAUCAAAGAGGGUGAUAAUCCCGUACUUGACACAAUGACCGGUGCUCUGUGAUACGUCUUCUACGAGUCGAGUUGUUUGGGAAUGCAGCUCAAAAUGGGUGGUGAGUUCCAUCUAAAGCUAAAUAUUGGCGAGAGACCGAUAGCGAACAAGUACCGUGAGGGAAAGAUGAAAAGCACUUUGGAAAGAGAGUUAAACAGUACGUGAAAUUGUUAAAAGGGAAACGAUUGAAGUCAGUCGUGACUGAGAGGCUCAGCCGGUUCUGCCGGUGUAUUCCCCUCAGUCGGGUCAACAUCAGUUUUGUUCGGUGGAUAAGGGCAGUUGGAAGGUGGCACCCUCGGGUGUGUUAUAGCCAGCUGUCGCAUACAUCGGAUGAGACUGAGGAAUGCAGCUCGCCUUUAUGGCCGGGGUUCGCCCACGUUCGAGCUUAGGAUGUUGACAUAAUGGCUUUAAACGACCCGUCUUGAA
rnacentral:rRNA from 1 species